rnacentral:rRNA from 1 species
AUGGAGCCUGCAGCCGCAGGGACCCGGAAGCCGCUGCCGCAACCACCGGCCGCACUCGCAAGGGACAGGGCGGGCGCCGUCGCCGCAGCAGCCGCGACGCGGCCGGCGCCGGCGUGGGCGUCGACGUCGCUCCUCGCCGCUGGCCUGGUCGCGGUGGGCCUCGGAGGCGUCGCGCUGCUGGUGUGGUGGGCGGUCGCGUUCCACCGCGCGAACGCUAGGCUGUGGAUGGUACCCGCAGGGCUCGUCCUCCUCGGAACCCCGCUCGUCGCCUGGCUCUCCGUCUUCGCCUCCGGCCCGUGCGACCGCUCCAGGGCGCCGCCGCCGGCCGCCUUAGGAGCUUAA